CUAAUUGCGUUAGCAGAAGCUUCUGGAAAGAGGCGCCAUAGCGGGUGACAGCCCCGUAGCCGUCAAACAGCAGAAGACUCGAGUAGGGCGGGACACGUGAAAUCCUGUCUGAACAUGGGGGGACCACCCUCCAAGCCUAAGUACUCGUGCAUGACCGAUAGCGAACAAGUACCGUGAGGGAAAGGUGAAAAG
rnacentral:rRNA from 18 species